rnacentral:rRNA from 1 species
GACGAACGCUGGCGGCGUGCUUAACACAUGCAAGUCGAACGGUAAGGCCCUUCGGGGUACACGAGUGGCGAACGGGUGAGUAACACGUGGGUGAUCUGCCCUGCACUUCGGGAUGAGCCUGGGAAACUGGGUCUAAUACCGGAUAGGACCACUGCCUGCAUGGGUGGUGGUGGAAAGCUUUUGCGGUGUGGGAUGGGCCCGCGGCCUAUCAGCUUGUUGGUGGGGUGAUGGCCUAUCAAGGCGACGACGGGUAGCCGGCCUGAGAGGGUGACCGGCCACACUGGGACUGGGAUACGGCCCAGACUCCUACGGGAGGCAGCAGUGGGGAAUAUUGCACAAUGGGCGCAAGCCUGAUGCAGCGACGCCGCGUGAGGGAUGACGGCCUUCGGGUUGUAAACCUCUUCCAGCACCGACGAAGCGCAAGUGACGGUAGGUGCAGAAGAAGGACCGGCCAACUACGUGCCAGCCGCCGCCGUAA